GACGAACGCUGGCGGCGUGCCUAAUACAUGCAAGUAGAACGCACAGUUUAUACCGUAGCUUGCUACACCAUAGACUGUGAGUUGCGAACGGGUGAGUAACGCGUAUGUAACCUGCCUGGUAGCGGGGGAUAACUAUUGGAAACGAUAGCUAAUACCGCAUAAUAUUAAUUAUUGCAUGAUAAUUAAUUGAAAGGUGCAAUUGCACCACUACCAGAUGGACCUGCGUUGUAUUAGCUAGUAGGUGAGGUAACGGCUCACCUAGGCGACGAUACAUAGCCGACCUGAGAGGGUGAUCGGCCACACUGGGAAUGAGACACGGCCCAGACUCCUACGGGAGGCAGCAGUAGGGAAUCUUCGGCAAUGGACGACAGUCUGACCGAGCAACGACGCGUGAGUGAAGAAGGGUUUCGGAUCGUAAAGCUCUGUUGUAAGAGAAGAACGGGUGUGAGAGUGGAAAGUUCACACUGUGACGGUAUCUUACCAGAAAGGGACGGCUAACUACGUG
rnacentral:rRNA from 1 species